AAGUGGCGCACGGGUGAGUAACACGUACGCAAUCUGCCUUGUGCAGGAGGAUAGCCCUGGGAAACUGGGCGUAAUACUCCAUGGUAUUGUCCAAUUGCAUGAUUGGAUAAUUAAAGCUACGGCGGCACGAGAUGAGCGUGCGUCUGAUUAGGUAGUUGGUGAGGUAACGGCUCACCAAGCCGACGAUCAGUAAGGGGCGUGAGAGCGUGGCCCCUCACACGGGUACUGAGACACGGACCCGACUCCUACGGGAGGCAGCAGUAAGGAAUAUUGGACAAUGGGCGGAAGCCUGAUCCAGCCAUCCCGCGUGCAGGAUGACGGCCCUAUGGGUUGUAAACUGCUUUAGACUGGAAAGAAAGUUGCGGAUUUAUCUGUAAUUGACGGUACCAGUAGAAUAAGCACCGGCUAACUCCGUGCCAGCAGCCGCGGUAAUACGGAGGGUGCAAGCGUUAUCCGGAAUUACUGGGUUUAAAGGGUGCGUAGGCUGCUAUGUAAGUCAGAGGUGAAAGCCCGCCGCUUAACGGUGGAACUGCCUUUGAUACUGCAUAGCUUGAAACAGGUUGAGGUCGGCGGAAUGUGACAUGUAGCGGUGACAUGCAUAGAUAUGUCAUAGAACACCAAUUGC
rnacentral:rRNA from 1 species